AGACCCAGACUCCCCAACACAUCAGAAGAUCCGGUGAAGAAGUGGCAGGAGCCAGUGGGACGUCAGAAAACCCUGAGGCUCCCACCAUCCUUUCGGAGAUGAUUCUGCCAUCUGACUCCAUGCAAUGACUGAUCAUCCCCACGUUACAGAUGAGGAAGUGGAGGCCCAGGGACAGCAUCCUGUCCAAGCUGUUAACCACUGUGUCACAUUGCCCCCUGCUGAGCACCUACUAAGUGCCAGGCUCUUAGAAAACGAUGGUGUGUAAGACCUCCCCAAGGAGGGGCUUCUAUUCUGGUAAGGUAAGUUCACGGAUGUGUGUGUCUUCCCUAGCAAACUAAAGGAGGAGAAGCCCCGAGGUAGGAAUUUCUGCCUUUUGUCAAAAAUACGGUCACUCGCCUACAAGCCACAUCCCUCUGGCAUUCACGUGCACAGAUUCGGGGCAUGCCCCUGCCUUCUCUCUAAACUUUUUGUUCAGAAACUGAAAAAACAAUUUUGGGUUGUUUCUGCUCCCUGGUUUUAGGUUGCCUAAGGGCAGGUAAGUUAAGUAAGAAGAGUUUCACCAUGCAUCCACCGGGCAACCCACCCCCGUUAGCCUUUGAUUUCAGGGUCUCAGACACACAGGAGGGGAGGGCAGCCCCACACUGCUCUCCUUUUUGUAAGGCUCUUUAUUUGCCGCGAGCGGCUUCUUGUGUUUACCUGUCUGGGCAUUGUUCUGAGGGCUGUGAGAAUGACACUCCUCAAGCCAGCUCUGAGAUGGAAACACACUCACCACAGCAGCUAAAGAAAGAACGUGUAUGCAAAAUGAUCUCUUCCAGCACGUUCUGCUUUUGCCCAGGCGUUGCACCUAAGCAUGGAAGAAUUUUACUGCUCCUGUUACCCAGAAGAGCUUGAGAUUUGAAACUGGGAACCUUUCCAGAGCUUACAUGGAACGGAGCAUACAGAUCAGUACUGAAAACAUAAAUCACUCUUCAACCCUU